UGGGGGAUAUUGCACAAUGGGGGGAACCCUGAUGCAGCAACGCCGCGUGAAGGAAGAAGUAAUUCGUUAUGUAAACUUCUAUCGACAGGGAAGAAAGAAAUGACGGUACCUGAAUAAGAAGCCCCGGCUAAUUACGUGCCAGCAGCCGCGGUAAUACGUAAGGGGCGAGCGUUAUCCGGAUUUACUGGGUGUAAAGGGUGAGUAGGCGGCAAUGCAAGUCAUAUGUGAAAUACCGAGGCUUAACUUCGGAGUUGCAUAAGAAACUGCGUAGCUAGAGUGCAGGAGAGGCAAGCGGAAUUCCUAGUGUAGCGGUGAAAUGCGUAGAUAUUAGGAAGAACACCGGUGGCGAAGGCGGCUUGCUGGACUGUAACUGACGCUGAGUCACGAAAGCGUGGGGAGCGAACAGG
rnacentral:rRNA from 1 species